GGCCGAUUGAUGUAACGGGAGCCUGCUAGUUUUACACACUAGUUGCGGAGGUUCAACUCCUCCAUCGGCCA
rnacentral:tRNA from 1 species